rnacentral:rRNA from 1 species
UACGUAGGGUGCGAGCGUUAAUCGGAAUUACUGGGCGUAAAGCGUGCGCAGGCGGUGAUGUAAGACAGAUGUGAAAUCCCCGGGCUCAACCUGGGAACUGCAUUUGUGACUGCAUCGCUGGAGUGCGGCAGAGGGGGAUGGAAUUCCGCGUGUAGCAGUGAAAUGCGUAGAUAUGCGGAGGAACACCGAUGGCGAAGGCAAUCCCCUGGGCCUGCGCUGACGCUCAUGCACGAAAGCGUGGGGAGCAAACAGG